UACGGAGGGAGCUAGCGUUGUUCGGAAUUACUGGGCGUAAAGCGCACGUAGGCGGUACAUCAAGUCAGGGGUGAAAGCCCGGAGCUCAACUCCGGAACUGCCUUUGAAACUAGUGUGCUAGAAUCUUGGAGAGGCGGGUGGAAUUCCGAGUGUAGAGGUGAAAUUCGUAGAUAUUCGGAAGAACACCAGUGGCGAAGGCGGCCCGCUGGACAAGUAUUGACGCUGAGGUGCGAAAGCGUGGGGAGCAAACAGG
rnacentral:rRNA from 1 species